rnacentral:rRNA from 1 species
GUGGGGAAUAUUGGGCAAUGGGCGAAAGCCUGACCCAGCAACGCCGCGUGAAGGAAGAAGGUUUUCGGAUCGUAAACUUCUAUCCUUGGUGAAGAUAAUGACGGUAGCCAAGAAGGAAGCCCCGGCUAACUACGUGCCAGCAGCCGCGGUAAUACGUAGGGGGCAAGCGUUGUCCGGAAUGAUUGGGCGUAAAGGGCGCGUAGGCGGCCCGGUAAGUCUGAAGUGAAAGUCCUGCUUUUAAGGUGGGAAUUGCUUUGGAUACUGUCGGGCUCGAGUGCAGGAGAGGUAAGCGGAAUUCCCGGUGUAGCGGUGAAAUGCGUAGAGAUCGGGAGGAACACCAGUGGCGAAGGCGGCUUACUGGACUGUAACUGACGCUGAGGCGCGAAAGUGUGGGGAGCAAACAGGAUUAGAAACCCUGGUAGUCC